rnacentral:lncRNA from 1 species
AGGAUCAGCAUGACUGUAGUGUUCCUGGCUUAACCCUGAGAGGUUGCUGUUCCCAGUGACUAUCUAGGCUGAAGCCCAUGUAGGAUUUGAAGAGACUGAUCCAGGCUUUAUGAGUGGCUGCGACCAUGCUGUAUGUGUGUAUGUGUGUGUGUACACCGCCUAAGUGUGUUCAUUUCAGCCACAGCAAGAGUUAUGUUACAAGGAUAGCAUAGACAGCCCUGCCUAUUGCAAGAGUAAUGCAUCAGGUGUGAAACAGAUCUUUAAUGCUGUGUGAAGCAGGCUCUUUUAAGGUCCAAUUAGUAUGGUGUCACCAAUAUAUGGAUCCAUGCGAUUGAUUAUCUGUGGAGUGUCCGGAUGGUCCAGGACCCUUCAGAUUAUAUUACGAUGGAGAACAGGAAAAUUAACCAAAACCUGGGCAAGACUGCGAAUGUGUGCUACUAUCCAUCCCAGUUCUGGAGGCCGGAGUUGGAAAUCAGUUUCACUGGGCACACAUGGAGGUGUUUGAAGGGCUGCCCGUGCCAGAGGCUCUCAGGGAGAAUCCCUUCCUUGUCUGUUCCAGCUCUACCUCCUCCUCUGCUGUGUGAGUAAAACCUCCCUCGGCCUCUUUGAUUAGGAUAAGGUGUAUUUAGUGUCUAGCAGGACAAUCCAGGAAAUUCUUCCCAUCUCAAGAUCCCUAACUUGAUCCCUUCUGCAAAGACCUGCUUUCACUCCCAUCUGCAAACACCAUUUCCGGGUUCCAGGGAUAAGCCCUGACAUCUGUGGGUGGCCGUUAUUCAGUUACCGACAGUGUGGCAUGAUGAAAAUGAAGUGUUAAAACAAGGACUGCAGUAUUGUUUAUUCCAGCAAAUGGUGAGUGGUCCAUCCUUCUCCAAGCCCUUUCUCUUCUUCUUCUCAUGGUCUCUGGCAUCUGGGAGAGUCCACGUGGCCUGGGUUGGGCUAACAGAUACCAGCAGAAGUGAUGCGUACAACUUCCGGCAACCUAGGUGCACUUGUCUCGCCCUCCCUGGGAGCAGAUCCAUCCUCAAACCUGCAGACAAGGAUAAUGCUGUAGUGGGUACUGAGAAAAAAAAAAAAAAAAAAAAGAAGGAACCUAAAGGAAAUGUUGGAGCAGAAAUACAUUUCUAUCUUAUUCAAGCUGGUAUAUUUUGGACUUCUGUUGCUACAACAGUUUCAUCUUUAUCCUAACGAAUACCCAUACAUGUAUUAGUAAAAAUAUAAAGGUGUCCAGGGAAUAAUGUCAGACUGAGGAGAAUGGGGCUUGGGGGAAGACGGGUGGCAAGAGGAUGUGUAAGGAAUACACAGUUGUAUCUGCAAAAUGUUUUCACUCUUAAGUUCAGUGGCAAACUAACGGAUGUUCUUUAUAUUAUUCUCUAUGCUUUUUUCAAUAUCUGAUUUAUUUUGCUUUAAAAAUCUAUACUAAUAGUGGAUGAGAAAAUAAAUGUCAUAGAAGGGG